rnacentral:rRNA from 1 species
AACGAACGCUGGCGGCAUGCCUAACACAUGCAAGUCGAACGAGACCUUCGGGUCUAGUGGCGCACGUGUGCGUAACGCGUGGGAACCUGCCCUUAGGUUCGGAAUAACUCCCCGAAAGGGGUGCUAAUACCGGUUAAUGUCUUCGGACCAAAGAUUUAUCGCCUUUGGAUGGGCCCGCGUUGGAUUAGCUAGUUGGUAGGGUAAAAGCCUACCAAGGCGACGAUCCAUAGCUGGUCUGAGAGGAUGAUAAGCCACACUGGGACUGAGACACGGCCCAGAAUGCUACGGGAGGGAGCAGAAGAGAAUAUUGGACGAUGGGCGAAAGCGUGAUCCAGCAAUGCCGCGUAAGUGAUGAAGGGCUUAGGGUUGUAAAGCUCUUUGACCCGGGAUGAUAAUGACAGUACCGGGAGAAUAAGCUCCGGCUAACUCCGUG